CUGAGCAUGGACCCAUGAGGCUGAUGGAGGAAAAAUAAGGUUUACAAUAUAUACAUAUUUAGAUCCAGGACCUUGGCUCUGGAAAAAUUUUUCUACUUUCACAUGAACAAAGGCUUGAUAGAGAUUUUCCCAAGGUAUCAACAGAACUUUUAAUUAAAUUACUAAUAAUUCAUUGAGAAGCUAAAAAAUCAUUUUUAAGCUAUCAGUAACAGAAGGAAAAUAAAAUGGUUUUGGCCAUGGCUACAUCACACACAGGGAUCCAGGUCAGGAAUCAAACCUGUGCCAUGUCAGUGACAAUGCUGGAUCUUUAAACUUCUGAGCUACCAGGGAACUCCGAGAAGAUAAAGGUUUAUUAAUCAUACUCCACGAGAGAAUGAAUUAAGCUGUCUAGCAUCUUUGCAAAAGAGGCAAAGAAGUUGAAGCUAAACAUGUAGGCACAACUUGUAGAGAUGGGUCUGUAAGGAUUUGAUAGAUGUGUUUAUUUUCCUUUGUUUUAUAAUGUUUGUGGUAUUUAUAAUGUUUGUGGUAUUCAACAUGCCUACUUUUACAUGUUGAAAUCUGUGGCAAUUUAUUUUUUCACUCCAAAUAUUUACUUUUAUACUUAAUUUUUAUCUGUAAUUUUAUAUUUUUUUCUUAUAGUGUGACCCCCAAAAUGCUUGGAGUCCCACAGCCUGGAUCUGCCCCAUCUCCAAUAAUCAUUUUAUUUUGUUUUAUUUUAUUUGUCUUUUUAGGGCCAUAUCCACGGCAUAUGGAGGUUCCCAGGCUAGGGGUCAAAUUGGAGCUGUAGCUGCUGGCCUACACCACAGCCACAGCAACGCCAGAUCCAACCUGCAUUUGCAAUCCACACCACAGCUCAAGACAAUGCCAGAUCCUUACCUCGCUGAGCGAGGCCAGGGAUUGAACCUGUGUCCUCUUGGUUGCUUGUUAGAUUUGUUUCCACUGAGCCAUGAAGGGGAACUCCAAUCAUCAUUUUAUUUAAAAUGAGAAAAUAUCCAUAGAGGAUCGACUCCGAGAACGAAGGAGGAAGACAAGUCCCUCCUCUAGAAUGUCCUCAGUGCCUACUGUUGGCAAAACUUAUUAUCUGCCGGCUGCCCUUGAGAAAUGUUUUAAAGCUCCAUUGUCACAGAGCAGGUAAAGAAGAGUGGAGCUGAGAGGCAAUAAAUUGGCCAGCGUAUGGAACUUUUUAUGGUAGCAGGAACUAUGUAGGGAUUUUGAAAAUGCUGCCUAUAAUGUUGAUGAUGACCAUGAUGACAGUGAUGGAUGGUGACGGGGGAGGGGGGGAUGAUUAAUGGCUGUUUCUUUUAUUCCUGUAGACCAAACUAAAUCCAUUAACUACCUUGGUAUAUUUUUCUGACAUAUCAAAGAUUUCUUCUUUAUCUGUUCUCAAAAUUGCACCGACUACAAUUUAGACUUCAUCUCGAUCUAACCUCACUGCACAAUGAGAACCUCUGGUCAGCAUUUAUCCUACAUUUCUUCAUGUGGUCAAUGUCUGGGAUGACUCUAUUUUAUCAACCAAAAAUCAGAGCAUGCAGUUUUUUCUAGUUUAUAUAUUUAUGGUAUUAUAUAAUAUGUUCUUUAAAGCAUGAUACAAGUAUCCUGUUAAUUUGGAUUUAUUUGUAGUCUUAAUUGCCUGUGGUAUAGAAAGUACAUGAAAAUUGAGUAUGUAUUUUGAGGAAAUAUGUUGUGUAUAUAUAAAAGUACAGGAAAAUUGUACUGGAAAAUUAAGGAUGGUGCUAUGUAGAAUAUUAUUUGUCUAGUCUUUAGUAAUUAUGUUUGCUGGUGUGUUUUUUCAUUUAAAAGUUAGCUUUGAAAUUGAUGGCUCCAGACGUAUUUCAUGUUCAAGAUAAAGAUUGGAAACACAUUUGUGUAAUAUACCUUAAGAAUUAUUCAACAGAGCAGGAAGCAAAUCAUAACUAUGCUUGUAUGAUGUUUUAUCUAUUUAUAUGGCAAGUAUACUGUUUUUAGAUGUCUCUAAUUACUUUCAUUCUUCAGGUGUAUCUUCCUAGUUCAAAUCAGUUUCUUUCCUUCUUUUACUCUCUUCAUUUGUCUUUUUUUUUUUUUUUCCCACAGUCAGGUUGCUCAAUUCCAAGACAAAGGGCUCUUUGAUAAUGGGCUAGAAAAAAGGGUUAAAGAAUGGUUUAGAACUAAUUCGAGAAAGAACAAUCCAAUUCCCACUUGGAAAAGGACACAAGCUGAAUCAUACGGGACUGUGGAGCCUGGGGAGGAAAUUUUUACCUUUUUCAGUGCCUUCUACCUACCCAUCAUGUCAUUCUCCCCACCUUUGGUAACAAUCAGAUACGAAGUGGAAUAGAUUUGUCAUAUGGUGUUGUAUCCCAGUGUAUACUGACAGCAAUCAUGUGGCUAUUAGUUUUUUAAAGUCAUUAAAUGACCACUCACCCUAAUUUUGGGCUCUCUUAAGAUUAAAGUUUCUACAGGGAGAAAUUAGAAACCACAGGGUUACACAAUAGGUGGGCAGGAGAGAUCCUCAGAGAUAGGCUAGGACUCUUUCUUAUUAGUCUUAUUUCUGAGUGUAAAGGGAAGUUACUUACUGUUAUGCACAGUUGCCUUUAAGUGAAUUUUAAGAUUCCUUAGGUUUUAUUUAUGAUGUCCUCUUUUCAAUUCCAUUUGAAUUUAUUGCGGUAAUUCAAAAGCAGUACAUGUAACUCGAGUUGAAUAUUAAAAAUAGAAUGCAAAGGCACAAUAUUUUAUAAGGCAUCAUAUAAUUAAUUGUGAAGAAUAUUUAUGUAGCAUGUAGCUGUGCUAGGUAUUUAUUACAUGAUAGAGUUGUUGAGUUGCCUUUAAAUGAAAGUAGCUCAAGUGCUUGAGUACUGUUUUUAGAAGAGUAGCCCACUCAUUUGGAAUGUUGCUCUGGUUUAGAUAAAUAGGUCCCAGUGUAGAUUUUUUAUUUGCCUUUUUAGGGCCACACCCACAGCAUUCAGCGUAUGUGCAAACUGUCUUUGAUGGUAAAGAAAAUGUCAUACUAAGUAUUAGUUUGAAGUAAGAAAUAAAAUCUUAAAAUGAUAAGAGCACAUGUAACUAGACAAAAGCAUUACAUUAUCAAAUAUUUGUUAUAAAACAUACUAAAAUAGAAAAUCAGAUGUACCAUAAACACUUAAAAUAUGGCUACAUUGGAAAUCUGGAGAUGGAAAUCUAAGGGAUUUAUUUGACUAUUUUUAUUCAAAUGAUUUCUGUUAAGCUCUUUACAAAAUUUCUAUUCAAACCAUGAAUAAAUUGUAGUACUUGAGUUCCCAAAUACUGCAAGACUUACAAAAAUAUCAGCAUAUUCACAUCCUUGUUAAAUUCAUCCUACUAAGGUCUAGUGACUGCCAAAGCAUACAGCAAUAUUAUGAUAAAUCUACUGAGGGGAAUUUGGGAAUGUAUAUAGUAUAGUUGAAGAAAAUGAUUUAUAUAUGACAUAGGACAAAAAAAGUUGAGCUAUUAAAAGCUAAAUACUCUCCAAAAGAUUCUAAUUCUAUAGCAAAUUAUUUGAGGUCCCAUAAUAUGCUAAUUUAAUUUGUAUAUGUAUAAAAAUUUUGAAUUGACAUUCAUUGAAUAAUUAGACUUUUCAUAAAUAGUCUUAGAUAAAAUAACAAUAACCCUUUUUUCCACCAAAACCCCCUAACCCCUUAAGGGUGCUCAAUUUAAUUUUAUUUUAAAACUUUUAAGAAUGUUUACUCUCAUCUUCAAUUCUGUUCCAAAGUAAUAAAAACGUAAAUCCACAAUGUGUUUAUUUUUUCCUCCUCCAAAUCUCUGCGUGAUUCUAUUGUUAGUCAUCUGAUUAAAAAUGUACACCAGCUUUGUUUUCUUUUUUUAAUCAAGCAGUCCCAUACUGUUCCUGAAGAGAAAACAGGCUGUUGGCAAGUCUAGUCUACUAUUGGAGAUUUAAAGGCAACUUGAAACACAGCAAGAAAUUAUAACAUUACUCAGAGACUAUUAAAAAUAAUUUAAACUUAAAAAGAUGAAGAAAAAGUGUAAUAAGAAUAUUAAAAUGCAUGGUAUAUAAACCUCUGCCCUGCCACAAGUAGACCAGAAAUCAGUACUAAGCUUUGUAACAGUUAACUGAGAAAUUGUAACCUGAACAAUUCCAUAGUUCACAGAAUUGGUGUUUAAAAAUAGACCAAUUGUUUAAGAGGUACAAUUAUUUUGUAUACUAAUCCCGGAAAGAAAUUUCUUGCAAGAUUUCUCAUUAAGAGAAUAAUGUAAACAACAUCCUCUGUGAGAUUCCUACAGGAGAGUUCAGAAGGUCCACUUAAAAAAAUUACGUACUAAUUAUUUAAUAAUUAUUAUGAGCUUUGUAUUAAUGUAUGUAAAUUAAUGUAUAAAUGUGAUAAUUAACCAUACAAAUGUAUGAAUUAUUAAGUGUAUGCUAUAUUUUCUUAGAGUACUACAACAAAGCAGAGGAUAGAGAGGUAAUCUUAUUUUCUAUGGAAGCGCAUAGCAUAAAUAACAUGAACCAGCAGUGGCUUUAAUAGACACCUGGUCGUUCUAUUUGUUGCCAAGCAGAGGGGGAGGGGUUCAGGUGCACACUCCAAAUCAAAAGUCAUCACUUGGCAAACUAUCCAUACAGUUGCCUUAUAAUUUAUGAUCUUAUGCAGUAAGUUAGCUCAUUUAGUUCUCUAAGUAUAUAUUUUGCAAUCGUUUCUCAACUGUACAGAGAAUGGCAUGCUAUUCAAGAUUAACUACUCAAAGGGUUUUUUCCUGAUUCUUUAAAAAAAAUAAAAAAGCCAAAGGCCAUGCAAGAUUGGUUUGCUUGUGUAGAUAAUUUUUAGGCUUUUUUUUUUUUGCCAUCUACCCUCUGCUGGAGAAUUUUGGGGAGUUAUUGGUUCUUUCCUCUGUAUAUACAAAAUUACAUCCUGAGGAACUACUUCUUGAAUCUUCCUGUAGGGAGUGAGAAGCUUUCUAGUCACCCUCCAUCCUGUUGGGCAAACACAUCGACUUUCCUGAGAGGAUGUUAGUUCAUCCCAAUUUAGACAUAUGGUCCCAAGCUAAUGCAGAGAUAGCUGUACUUCAAGUAACUAUUAAAGGAUAUACCUUAAGGUCCUUGCUGUUCCAAUUUUAUGUGAUGCUCACUUGAACAAAAGUGUCUUUAUAAACACAGUACACUCAUAUCACUAAAAGGAUAUGUGGUCCAGCUGAGAACUGCAUUAAUUGACUGCUUGUUGCUGUUGGCCCCUCAUAUUAUUGUUUUUAUUGAAUUGCCUCUUUAGGGCAAUGCCUCAGCGUACAGUGAGUCAUUUUGUAAGAAAACAGUCUUACGAAACAUGCUGCUGUUGGGUUUGUUUCAUCAGCUAGUGCCAUCUUCAUGAGCGCUAGUGGGAGAAGUGUCUGUAGGAUUUCAAAAAUAAUAAAGCCUGUCCUGGGCCACAUUUUCCUGUGAGUAAGGUACCCGAAUGGACGACAUCUGAAGCCUGGGCAUCCUGGCUCUGUCGUCUAAGACCUCCUUUGCACCAGAUGCCAGAAAAGGUAGGGUCAAUAUAUGACCUUCUAGCAAAGGUCCAGAUCCAUAGGCAGCUUGUGUUCUCACUUCAGUCCUGGCUUCACCUAAUUUCUUCUGUUGUCAUUUUCCCCUUGAUUCCAUUUUUUAUCCUCUUAGUUUUUAUCUUUUCUUAGUAUAGUGUAUGGAUUUUGAAAGCUCCCUUAAAUAAUUUAUGGAAGCGAGUGUGAGAGUUUUGAGAACAGUGAAGGCCUUGACCUUUCAUUGUUCCAUGUCCUCUGAGUCCAGGGAAUCCUGUGUUCUUUAAGCUGUCCCCAUAUGCAGUCAGAUGGCACUCAAGAUUUGCUACUCUUCCCUCUACAGGCCUUUUCUGUCCUGAUAAAAUAUUUUACCACCUUCCCCAGGGAGGACAUGAAACAUGGUUGCUGUUGCAGAUGACUUGUGCUCUGCUUUUUAAGCAUAUAAAUUUUCAUUUGGAUUUAUUUAUUUAUUUGCUUUUUAGGGCUGCACUUGCAGCAUAUGGAGGUUCCCAGGUGGCCCAAUCAGAGCUUCAGCUGCCAGCCUAUGCCACAGCCACAGCCACGUGGGAUCCCGGCCAUAUCUGUGACCUACACCACAGCUCACAGCAACGCUGGAACCUUAACCCACUGAGUGAGCCAGGAAUCAAACUGGCAACCUCAUGGUUCCCAGUCGAACUCAUUUCCACUAUGCCAUGAUGGGAACGCCUAAGCAUAUAGAUUUUAAUAUGAAAUGAAAGAUCUGAACUCUUCUUCUCUGAAAUGAACACACUCAUUUAAUUUAAAAAAUGGAAUGUUUACAUAAUUAUCUUGAUAAGAGUUGACAGCAAAGCAGAAAUUCUGAGAAAUGCUAGUACUAAAUAUUGUCAGUAAACUCAUUUCUCCUUUGUCUGAAAAUGCUUCUUACUUAAAUGGCAUAGUGGAGAUUCAGUAUAUCCUGAGUCGCUUUAGCAUUCCUACUUUUUGAAUAACUAAGAUGAAUGUGGGAAAAUCAUCUUGAUGAGGUUAUCGUUCAUUCACUGGUCCAUUUAUUCCUACGGUCAGUAACUUCUCUGUACCCUCUGCCAUUCGAGGUAUUGAAGAUUCAGUGAUGAAAUUCAAAAAUCCUUGCCGUCCUGGAAAUUAUAUUCUAGUCAGGGAGAAGAUAAUUAAACAUAGCAGUGGAUUCAUAAACAACCAAGUGAGAUAAUUUAGCAGAUGGUUGUAAGCCUAAGCUAUGAAGAAAAAGAGGUGGCUAAGUGUAGUCAUGAGUUUGGUUAGGGGAAUGAGGACAGGCCAGUGACCUUUGGUAUGAGACCCAAACUAUGAGAGGGAGCCAGGCACACAAAGAUCUGGGGCAAGAAUCUUUUGAGCAAAGAGAACAACCAGUUCAAAGGAUCUGAGAGGGGAACAGGUUUGCAUGAUCGGGGGCCAGGGAAUUCAGUAUGGUUUGAGGACAGCGAUGUCAGAAGCGAAAUAGGCCAGGAGGAGGAGGGGCAGGCAGAGGGUAGGCCACUUGGGGUCCUGAGCUACACAAGUAUUAUCUGUGGGGACCUUGAGAAAGUCACGUAACAUUAUCUUGGGCUCAGUUUCCAGAAGCAUAUGGGGAGGAGAAAAUCUACUUCCUAGGCUUAAUUGAAGAGAUUUUGCAUGUUAAUCAAUGGUAAGUGCUUGGUAGAAUGCCUGGCACUUAGAAUUAUUUGUGUUAUCUUUUAUUAUUAUGUACAUAAGAAUGGUAUGAUUUUCCUCUAGCUAACAGUUUAUUGCCCUAAUAGACUUUUAAAGCUAUAAGAGACUUGCGUAGUCAUAUCCAAUCUGGACAUUUUACAGAUGAGCUUUUCAUUCAGAGAGGCCCAGUGGCUACGCAAGUUCCCACCAGUGAGUAAAUGUUUAGACUAGAAACUCAGCCUCUUGACUCUCAGCAAGAGCUUUCUCUAUUAGGUGGUGUUGGCCUAUAUGUAUAAACCUAAUGGCUUAGAAUUAGCUUCCUUAGUAUUUGCCUUAUGGGAUUAUAUUUGGAAAGGUAUUAUUGAACCUGAUUUUUUUUUUUUUUUUUUUUUUUGUAGAGACUGAGAUAGUUACCAUGUUGGUAGUAAAUUUAUAAGCCAAUGAUUUACUGAUAAUUAAAAUAUAUUUGAAAGUAAUUUAAAUUUCACAUUAUUCUGUUUUAAUUCCCUGAUUAACCACAGAUUCAAAUAUCCCAUUUGUAGCUUUAGCAUUUAUAAUUUUGCUAGAUAGAUCUAGCAAAAUUAUUUUAUUAUACCAUUCAUUCAUUUAUUCAUUUAUUACCUCCACAAUCUUUCUCUUCCCCGUACCCAAUAUGAAAACCUGCCCUCAUGGAAUUUAUACUACUUGAGAGAAGCAGAUAAUGAGCACAUGAAUAAACUAACAAAUGACUUAAAAGGUAAUUGCAGAGCAGUCCCCAAAAUAUAUUAAAAUGGGGAAAUCAAGCAAUCAGUGAUUUGUUGUUAUAAUAGAUAGGAAUGUUGUCAGUUCUCUAGCCUCACAACCUACCAAUAAACAGAGUAAUGGUUUAUAUAAAUUCAAAUGCAGUUAUGUACAUGGUAUUACUGAACAGUGGGGUUUAAAUUAAUAUAUAGCAUAGUCUUUGUUAAAGAAUCAGUAUAUAGGGAGUUCCCAUUGUGGCACAGUGGAAACAAAUCUGACUAGGAACCAUGAGGUUUCAGGUUCGAUCCCUGGCCUUGCUCAGUGGGUUAAGGAUCUGGCAUUGCUGUGAGCUGUGGUGUAGGUCACAAAUGCGGCUCGGAUCUGGUGUUGCUGUGGCUGUGGUGUAGGCCAACAGCUACAGCUCUGAUUCAACCCCUAGCCUGGGAACCUCCAUAUGCCGUGGGAGCGGUC
rnacentral:lncRNA from 1 species